ACAGGCGGAUAGCUCCAUAGCGUAUAUUAAAGUUGUUGCAGUUAAAAAGCUCGUAGUUGAAUUUCGGGGUCAGUAGAUUGGUCGUGCCACUGGUAUGUACUGGUCUUACUGGCUCCUCCUUCCUGAUGAACCGUAAUGCCAUUAAUUUGGUGUUGCGGGGAAACUGGACUGUUACUUUGAAAAAAUUAGAGUGUUUAAAGCAGGCUAACGCUUGAAUACAUUAGCAUGGAAUAAUGAAAUAGGACGUUCGAUCUUAUUUUGUUGGUUUCUAGGAUUGACGUAAUGAUUAAUAGGGAUAGUUGGGGGCAUUAGUAUUCAAUUGUCAGAGGUGAAAUUCUUGGAUUUAUUGAAGACUAACUACUGCGAAAGCAUUUGCCAAGGAUGUUUUCAUUAAUCAAGAACGAAAGUUAGGGGAUCGAAGACGAUCAGAUACCGUCGUAGUCUUAACCAUAAACUAUGCCGACUAGGGAUCGGAUGAUGUUAAUUUUUUAAUGACUCAUUCGGCGCCACAGGGGAAACCAAUCAGU
rnacentral:rRNA from 1 species